ACAUGUGCUACCCGUUGAAUUGUUGAUGAAUUUAUUCCCCAUGUUAAAUCAAUGACUACAAAAUGUUUCAGACAGGCGACGGCUGCAUUGCCUCACCUCAGCGACAGACAAAAAGGACACUUGGAAACAACCAAACCUAGAGACGAAGGAAAGAGCAUCCUUUCACACCAACUGAUGAUGCCUUGUGGAAAACAGACUGUGUGACCUUACAGGCCCUCUCCCUGCAUCCAAAAUGGUGUGCUUCUUUUGAGCAGCUCUAGAAAUAUAUAUCUAUAAUGCCUCUGAGAGGCUGUGAAGGGAGACACAUUCUCAAAGAAAGACAAUUACUGAAGCAGACAUUCCCUUUCGAGACAGUUGUGGGUGAACCGGCGGCCAUUUUGAGUGAGUGUAAUUCCACGAGGGAGAGAAGGGAGUUGGAGUCCAUUUACUCAGACAGGUACACAGUUAUGGGUGAACCCGGCGGCCAUUUUGAGUGAGUGUAAUUCCACGAGGGAGAUGGAGUCCAUUUACUCAGACAGGUACACAGUUAUGGGUGAACCCGGCGGCCAUUUUGAGUGAGUGUAAUUCCACGAGGGAGUUGGAGUCCAUUUACUCAGACAGGUACACAGUUAUGGGUGAACCGGCGGCCAUUUUGAGUGAGUGUAAUUCCACGAUGGAGAGAAGGGAGUUGGAGUCCAUUUACUCAGACAGGUACACAGUUAUGGGUGAACCGGCGGCCAUUUUGAGUGAGUGUAAUUCCACGAUGGAGAGAAGGGAGUUGGAGUCCAUUUACUCAGACAGGUACACAGUUAUGGGUGAACCCGGCGGCCAUUUUGAGUGAGUGUAAUUCCACGAGGGAGAUGGAGUCCAUUUACUCAGACAGGUACACAGUUAUGGGUGAACCCGGCGGCCAUUUUGAGUGAGUGUAAUUCCACGAGGCAGAUGGAGUCCAUUUACUCAGACAGGUACACAGUUAUGGGUGAACCCGGCGGCCAUUUUGAGUGAGUGUAAUUCCACGAGGCAGAAGGAGUCCAUUUACUCAGACAGGUAAAAUAAUGAAUCUCACUCCAGCACAACAUAUUCCCAUUUAUCUUUUACAAUAAAUACAGUCUUACAAAGAAAGAAAAAAAAAGAUGUGAACAAACAUUCAGUAGAAACACACAGACAGACAACACUAGGUUUAGGCAGUGAAAGGUGAGAACUAACUAGAUGCUGUUGGGGAGGGGAGGGUUUAUCUAGUUCUCAGAUUAUCUGCUAAAACUGACCCAGUCUUGCAUUAACAUAAAGGGCCUGCGGAUAAAAUGGCUCCCUAUUCCCUACAUAGUGCACUACUUUAGACCAGGGCCCUAUGGGGGGAACCCUAUUCCCUACAUAGUGCACUACUUUUGACCAGGGCCCUAUGGGGGGGAACCCUAUUCCCUACAUAGUGCACUACUUUUGACCAGGGCCCUAUGGGGGGGGGGACCCUAUUCCCUACAUAGUGCACUACUUUUGACCAGGGCCCUAUGGGGGGGGGGGACCCUAUUCCCUACAUAGUGCACUACUUUAGACCAGGGCCCUAUGGUGCACUAGAUAGGGAACAGGGAGCCAUUUGAAAUGAACCCUCAUCGACACACCCCUUUGAAAACACGGUUGAACUCCUCAAGUUAUCCUCGAGGGAGCUGAACAGAGAGCAGGUGGGGAAAAAAACACAGUCCCUCGUCAUACUAGUCUACCACACUUUAAUUAAAAGGUCUCCUCUUGUCCACAACCAGAAGAACCCACAGUAUAAAACAUCAGCCUGCUUCCCUGUCGUCUUUCAACUCAAACUAUAGCAGCAGUAUUCAAUCUAGACGGAAUGUUACUGAACCCCCCCAACGACAAGAUGAAUGGAUAUGGGUCAUUCAACAAGUCUCGUGUCUGCUAGGAGCAAGACAGUGGAGCCCAGUGGACUUUCACAGUAAUAAUCACAACCAUAUUUUACAACUAAAAAUGUGUGUUGCUACACAACGCAUGCAAAUAAAACAUUUCAACGGUCACAUGUACGUCUCUGGGUUACAGUGUGUCUAGUCCAGGUGUGUCUAGUCCAGGUGUGUCUAGUCCAGGUGUGUCUCUGGGUUACAGUGUGUCUAGUCCAGGUGUGUCUCUGGGUUACAGUGUGUCUAGUCCAGGUGUGUCUAGUCCAGGUGUGUCUAGUCCAGGUACGUCUCUGUGUUACAGUGUGUCUAGUCCAGGUGUGUCUAGUCCAGGUGUGUCUC